rnacentral:rRNA from 1 species
UCAUCUCCGGGGGUAGAGCACUGUUUCGGCAAGGGGGUCAUCCCGACUUACCAACCCGAUGCAAACUGCGAAUACCGGAGAAUGUUAUCACGGGAGACACACGGCGGGUGCUAACGUCCGUCGUGAAGAGGGAAACAACCCAGACCGCCAGCUAAGGUCCCAAAGUCAUGGUUAAGUGGGAAACGAUGUGGGAAGGCCCAGACAGCCAGGAUGUUGGCUUAGAAGCAGCCAUCAUUUAAAGAAAGCGUAAUAGCUCACUGGUCGAGUCGGCCUGCGCGGAAGAUGUAACGGGGCUAAACCAUGCACCGAAGCUGCGGCAGCGACGCUUAUGCGUUGUUGGGUAGGGGAGCGUUCUGUAAGCCUGUGAAGGUGUACUGUGAGGUAUGCUGGAGGUAUCAGAAGUGCGAAUGCUGACAUAAGUAACGAUAAAGCGGGUGAAAAGCCCGCUCGCCGGAAGACCAAGGGUUCCUGUCCAACGUUAAUCGGGGCAGGGUGAGUCGACCCCUAAGGCGAGGCCGAAAGGCGUAGUCGAUGGGAAACAGGUUAAUAUUCCUGUACUUGGUGUUACUGCGAAGGGGGGACGGAGAAGGCUAUGUUGGCCGGGCGACGGUUGUCCCGGUUUAAGCGUGUAGGCUGGUUUUCCAGGCAAAUCCGGAAAAUCAAGGCUGAGGCGUGAUGACGAGGCACUACGGUGCUGAAGCAACAAAUGCCCUGCUUCCAGGAAAAGCCUCUAAGCAUCAGGUAACAUCAAAUCGUACCCCAAACCGACACAGGUGGUCAGGUAGAGAAUACCAAGGCGCUUGAGAGAACUCGGGUGAAGGAACUAGGCAAAAUGGUGCCGUAACUUCGGGAGAAGGCACGCUGAUAUGUAGGUGAAGUCCCUCGCGGAUGGAGCUGAAAUCAGUCGAAGAUACCAGCUGGCUGCAACUGUUUAUUAAAAACACAGCACUGUGCAAACACGAAAGUGGACGUAUACGGUGUGACGCCUGCCCGGUGCCGGAAGGUUAAUUGAUGGGGUUAGCGCAAGCGAAGCUCUUGAUCGAAGCCCCGGUAAACGGCGGCCGUAACUAUAACGGUCCUAAGGUAGCGAAAUUCCUUGUCGGGUAAGUUCCGACCUGCACGAAUGGCGUAAUGAUGGCCAGGCUGUCUCCACCCGAGACUCAGUGAAAUUGAACUCGCUGUGAAGAUGCAGUGUACCCGCGGCAAGACGGAAAGACCCCGUGAACCUUUACUAUAGCUUGACACUGAACAUUGAGCCUUGAUGUGUAGGAUAGGUGGGAGGCUUUGAAGUGUGGACGCCAGUCUGCAUGGAGCCGACCUUGAAAUACCACCCUUUAAUGUUUGAUGUUCUAACGUUGACCCGUAAUCCGGGUUGCGGACAGUGUCUGGUGGGUAGUUUGACUGGGGCGGUCUCCUCCUAAAGAGUAACGGAGGAGCACGAAGGUUGGCUAAUCCUGGUCGGACAUCAGGAGGUUAGUGCAAUGGCAUAAGCCAGCUUGACUGCGAGCGUGACGGCGCGAGCAGGUGCGAAAGCAGGUCAUAGUGAUCCGGUGGUUCUGAAUGGAAGGGCCAUCGCUCAACGGAUAAAAGGUACUCCGGGGAUAACAGGCUGAUACCGCCCAAGAGUUCAUAUCGACGGCGGUGUUUGGCACCUCGAUGUCGGCUCAUCACAUCCUGGGGCUGAAGUAGGUCCCAAGGGUAUGGCUGUUCGCCAUUUAAAGUGGUACGCGAGCUGGGUUUAGAACGUCGUGAGACAGUUCGGUCCCUAUCUGCCGUGGGCGCUGGAGAACUGAGGGGGGCUGCUCCUAGUACGAGAGGACCGGAGUGGACGCAUCACUGGUGUUCGGGUUGUC